GAUGAACGCUGGCGGCGUGCCUAAUACAUGCAAGUCGAGCGAACAGACGAUGAUCUUGCUCCUCUGACGUUAGCGGCGGGCGGGUGUGUAACACGUGUAUAACCUACCUAUAUUACUGGUAUAACUUCGGGAAACCGGAUCUAAUACCGUAUAAUAUAUUGAACCGCAUGGUUCAAUGGUAAAAGACGGUUUUGCUGUCUCUUAUCGAUGGUUCCGCGCCGCAUUAGCUAGUUGUUAAGUUAACGGCUUACCAAGGCAACGAUGCGUAGCCGACCUGAGAGGGGGAUAGGCCACACUGGAACUGAGACACGGUCCAGACUCCUACGGGAGGCAGCAGUAGGGAAUGUUACGCAAUGGGCGAAAGCAUGACGGAGCAAGGCCGAGUGAGUGAUGAAGGUCUUCGGAUCGUAAAACUCUGUUAUUAGGAAAGAACAAAUGUGUAAGUAAAUAUGCACGUAGUGACGGUAACUAAUCAGAAAGCCACGGCUAACUACGUG
rnacentral:rRNA from 1 species